rnacentral:tRNA from 1 species
GGGGAUGUGGCUCAGUGGUAGAGCACUUGCCUAGCAUGUGUGAGGCACUGGGUUCAAUUCUCAGCACCA